rnacentral:lncRNA from 8 species
AAUCGUACGUAGAUUAACGACCAGGCACAAGCCUAACUGUUGCAACAAGCCCUGUGGUGGGUAGACCAGUUAAUGAAUGAAAAUGCUUCUUUCCCCUGGCUUUAUAAAGAAUUGUCUCUUGUCAUUGUCACACAGUAGCUACCUGUCUUUACUGCUCUUUGAUUGUAUCCAUCUCUCUCUCUCUUUCUCUCUCUCUCUUUCUCUCUGAUAGUUGUGCUCUCUCUCUCUCUCUCUCCCCUAAUGGAUGUGCCGGAGCACAACUACUUUAUCAACAUCGGUAAGGACGAAACUGCCAUUGGGAAACACCUGUCUAGAUCCCAAAAAGGUGAGUAUCUGCAUUCUGUUAUUCUCCUCUGCUUGAACAAUAUUCUAUUCAUUGGUAUAAAUAAGGGGGUAGGGAGAAAAGGGUGGGAGACUUGAUGGAGGGACAUAAUUCCUUUUAGUCAAAAUGGUUAUGGAAAAGCAAAUCAUAUUUGACACAUUUACCACAAUGUAACAGCUGACUACAUUGCUGUGUGUCUGCCUGUAUGCCCGUCAUUGACAUUGUCUGUGUGUGUGUGUGUCUUGUUGCCUUCCAGUACCUCUCUCUGGAUGGGAACAGUCUGAACACAGCUGAUCUGGUCCGUUUGGGGAAAGGCCUGUUCAACAUCAAGCUGACCUGCGAGGCUGAAGGGAAAGUCAAUGAAGACAGAGAAGUGAUAGAAACCAUAAUAAAAGAAAACCGAGGUAUGUAUAGAUUAAUAGAAUAUAUAGCUAUAGAUUAAUAUAAUACAUAGCUAUAGAUUAAUAGAAUACAUAGCUAUAGAUUAAUAGAAUACAUAGCUAUAGAUUAAUAGAAUACAUAGCUAUAGAUUAAUAGAAUGUAUAGCUAUAGAUUAGUAGAAUGUAUAGCUAUAGAUUAGUAGAAUGUAUAGCUAUAGAUUAGUAGAAUGUAUAGCUAUAGAUUAGUAGAAUGUAUAGCUAUAGAAUAUAUAGCUAUAGAUUAGUAGAAUACAUAGCUAUAGAUUAAUAGAAUACAUAGCUAUAGAUUAGUAGAAUACAUAGCUAUAGGUUAAUAGAAUAUAUAGCUAGAGAUUAAUAGAAUAUAUUGCUAUAGAAUACAUAGCUAUAGA